rnacentral:tRNA from 1 species
CAAAUUAUAGCUUAAUAAAGUUUUUUAUUUACACUAAAAGGAUAUCUGUUAAUUCAGUUUAAUUUGA